CUGCGCAGCCGCGAUCCCGGAGGGAGCGCUCCCCGGCCCCGCGCGCAGCCCGCCCCUUGCGCGCUCCGGCUCCGCGCGCCUGCCCGGCGCGGGAGGGUGGCCGGGCCCUACCGGCCCCAGCGGCCGCGGCUUCCCGUGGUGGCGGACCAGUGUGCGGCCGCCGCCAGCCAGGCCGCGCUAGGAAAGCUCGCCUACCCCCGGGACCGUGGGUGCGCACAGGCCGACAGGAGCGCCUAUUCGCUUGUCAUUCCCCCAACGAUAAGUUUGACGUCGCCUCCUUAGGCUCCCAUCCUGAGCAGGCUUCACCAGAAACAAAGAACAGAGGAGGAAAUACACAGUGUAUUGAGUGCUAGCAGUGAAAGGCCAGAGUUCUGACAGUAAGUGUUAUAUUCUGUUUAAUCCCAGGUUUAGCAGAGGUAGUUGCUAGACAUUUAAAAUGGAGGAUUAUAUUUUAUGAAUGGGAGAAUUGAAUAAAAAAAUUGAAAAAGAAUACAGUCAAGAAUUCCAGAGUAAGUGCUAGGUGCCCAGGACACCACUGCAAACUCAUGGAGGUUCUGUGGUGUAGGUUAAAUGCCAAGGGUGAUGCUUGACAUCUGUUGGCCAUCAGGUGAACUACUUGGUCAAAGUUGUUCAGGGUUUCAACAUU
rnacentral:lncRNA from 1 species